rnacentral:rRNA from 1 species
CCAAGAGUGGGGGAAUAACGGAGCGAAAGCUUUGCUAAUACCGCAUACGAUCUACGGAUGAAAGCAGGGGACCGCAAGGCCUUGCGCUCAUGGAGCGGCCGAUGGCAGAUUAGGUAGUUGGUGGGAUAAAAGCUUACCAAGCCGACGAUCUGUAGCUGGUCUGAGAGGACGACCAGCCACACUGGGACUGAGACACGGCCCAGACUCCUACGGGAGGCAGCAGUGGGGAAUUUUGGACAAUGGGCGCAAGCCUGAUCCAGCCAUGCCGCGUGCAGGAUGAAGGCCUUCGGGUUGUAAACUGCUUUUGUACGGAACGAAAAGCCUCUUUCUAAUAAAGAGGGGUCAUGACGGUACCGUAAGAAUAAGCACCGGCUAACUACGUGCCAGCAGCCGCGGUAAUACGUAGGGUGCGAGCGUUAAUCGGAAUUACUGGGCGUAAAGCGUGCGCAGGCGGUAAUGUAAGACAGAUGUGAAAUCCCCGGGCUCAACCUGGGAACUGCAUUUGUGACUGCAUUGCUGGAGUGCGGCAGAGGGGGAUGGAAUUCCGCGUGUAGCAGUGAAAUGCGUAGAUAUGCGGAGGAACACCGAUGGCGAAGGCAAUCCCCUGGGCCUGCACUGAC